GGCACGGUGGCAUAGUGGUUAGCACUGUUGCCUCACAGCAAGUAGGUCAUGGGUUCAAUUCCAGCCUGGGGCC